AUUGAACGCUGGCGGCAUGCUUUACACAUGCAAGUCGAACGGUAACAGGCCUUCGGGUGCUGACGAGUGGCGAACGGGUGAGUAAUGCAUCGGAACGUACCCAGAGGUGGGUGAUAACGCAGCGAAAGCUGUGCUAAUACUGCAUGUGAUCUGAGGAUGAAAGCGGGGGACCGAGCAGCAAUGUUGGGCCUCGCGCCUUUGGAGCGGCCGAUGUCGGAUUAGCGAGUGGUUGGGGUAAAGGCGUACCAAGGCGACGAUCCGUAGCUGGUCUGAGAGGACGAGCAGCCAAACUGGGACGGGGACACGGCCCAGACUCCUACGGCAGGCAGCCGUGGCGAAUUUUGGACAAUGGGAGCAAGCCUGAUCCAGCCAUGCCGCGUGCGGGACGAAGGCCUUCGGGUUGUAAACCGCUUUUGGCAGGAACGAAACGGUGUCCGCUAAUACCGGGCGCUAAUGACGGUACCUUCAGAAUAAGCACCGGCUAACUACGUG
rnacentral:rRNA from 1 species